rnacentral:pre_miRNA from 1 species
UCUUAUGGAUAACCACAGAAAGCGGUUUCUUGACAUGGAAUCUACUCCUGGUGAAGAUGCUGUGAA